UAGGGAGACCUAAUCCAUUUAGAAAUCGAAAACAAUGAAAAUUGUCAAUAGAAACUAAAUUGGUCUAACCUAGGUCGUUCGAGAUUGGUAGACAUCUUUCAAAGUAUUAUUCGGCUUCGUUCAAAACCAUAUAUAAUAAAUGGAAAAAGACAGCACCUAAUUGUCAAAGUUAGACUGCUGGAUGAAGUUCCAGCCAGAACCUUGAAAACUGCAUAAGAGAACAAGAAAAAGCAGGCGGACACAGACAUUUAGAUGGAUGUGAAAGCAAAAGAAAUUGU
rnacentral:misc_RNA from 1 species